AAUUCAACCAGGUUCAACCCACCAUUUUUUCCUUUAAAAAUGUCCUGUACCAAGUCAGGAAUAUGGCCAUUGUUAUAUUAUAGUUAGUUUCUGUGUGUGUUACAAUUUAACGUUGCGUCGUUUGUUUUCUCUUAUUUUUUAGUGUAAAUUGACAUUGCGAUAAAACGUGUCACGGUACUUGUCUAUCCCAAAUUCAUGUAUUUGGUUUUGAUGUUAUAUUUGUUAUUCUCGUGGGAUUUUGUCUGAUGCUUGGUCCGUUUCUGUGUGUGUUAGUUACAUUGUAGUGUUGUGUCGUUGUUCUCCUCUUAUAUUUAUGCGUUUCCGUCAGUUUUAGUUUGUUACCCCGAUUUUGUUUUUUUGUCCAUGGAUUUAUGAGUUUGAACAGCGGUAUACUACUGUUGCCUUUAUUUAUUAACCGGUAAUGAA
rnacentral:lncRNA from 1 species